CGCGCAGGCUGUAGAUCAAGUCAGCUGUGAAAUGUCUGGGCUUAACCCGGGCAUGCGGUUGAAACUGAUGUACUGGAGUGCUGUAGAGGCAAGUGGAAUUCCCAGUGUAGCGGUGAAAUGCGUAGAUAUUGGGAAGAACACCGGUGGCGAAGGCGACUUGCUGGGCAGCGACUGACGCUGAGGCGCGAAAGCCAGGGGAGCAAACG
rnacentral:rRNA from 1 species